AAGCCAUUUAAACUCUAUUUAAGGGAAUACUGUGUCCAUAUGCAGACUUUCUUGUCAUCUUUUCCCUGCAGAGGAUCUGAGUUGCAAUGAGUGUGUGCAGAUGCGUUUUGCAUGUCAUUGUCAUGGGAAUAACACCUUCAGGACUCCCAGCUGUGCAGUGGCUUCUCAGUGUUGAGGAUUGUGAGGACAUCCUUGUUCACAGACAGCUGCAAUACUUUUCUGCCAGACAGAUGUGGAGUUCUGUCCUGAUGUGCAAGACCCCCUGAAUUUUGUCAGCUUUGUUGCAGAAGAGUAUUAGAGUCCUUUGUGCAGCGUGGCUGGAAAAAGUAACUUAGUAAAUGUAUUUGAAAUGCUGAAAACAAGCAAAAUCCCUCAGCUGUGGCUGGUUUUGGGUCUCUGACUAGAACUUUUGAGAUAGCCUCUGACUGGAUGCAAAUCAGGAAAUGAAACUUUGUGGCAUCACUUGAUGUUUGUGAUGCAAAACAUAGGCAUGAGUUUGAUUUAUCACUGUGACUGCAAAGUGCUGUCUUCACACAUCCUACAGUUUAUUAAUCCAUGGAUAACACUGAGCUGGACUGCUCACCUGCUGGAAGAGCUUUAUCUACAGUAAUAAUCAUCUGAAGCUGUCUUCAACUCCCUGAGUAAAUGCUGCCAGGCAAUUUUGGGUUAUUGAACUGAUGUACCCAGUUUAUAUAGACAUAAAAACAUCUAGAUUUGCUUUCUGAACAUCUUUGUAUGUUGUGAAAUGCAUCUGUUUUAAUUUACUUCUAUUUUCAUGUUCUUUCCAUAUAGGCCAGAUUCAGCAUAUCCUAUCUGUGAUGGCUCAAUUUCUUAUUCCUACAGAAAUACCCAGACAACAGCACAAGGUUUUAUAGGCUCCAGGCAGCAUGUUUGGAAUCAGAGAAAUAACUGAGAAACAACAUAGAGAACGAGGAGAAAUAGGAGGAAUAUCUAUUUUUAGAAGCUAAAAUAUUCUUGUGCUUAAUUACACUGUGUUUCUAUCUUGUGCAAUCCAUAUUCCCUACAAACAUGAAAAGGAGGAAGCUGGAGCACAUUUAAAUGUGGUCAUCUGGUGUGAAUCUUUCAGGCAACUAAUUCUGCCAUUAUGAUUACUUUCCACUCUCACAUGCCAUUUAAUAUUGGAGGAAGCAAAAUAGUUCUGUGUGGUUGUGGUCUAUCCAAUAUCAGUGUGUCACUGGGAAAUUAAAAUCUCAUUGGAGCCAGAAAUGAAAAUCUGCCAGACCUCCCAAGAGUACUGAAGGCUUCUUUUUCUCCCUCUGUGCUUGAAAGUGUGGAUGAGAUGAGAUUACAUCACAUCUUUUGUGUCUGGGAAAUCGUUCUCUCUGCUCAUUCUUAAAACUUGUCCCUCUUUCAGCUUCUUCAUAGGAGGAUUGCUUUCCUGAGCCCUGUUGGUUCCUUUUGAGCUUUCCUUUCAUGGCUAAAUAAAAAUUAAGAUGUGCAGAUGCA
rnacentral:lncRNA from 1 species